GACGAACGCUGGCGGCGUGCUUAACACAUGCAAGUCGAACGGAAAGGCCCUGCUUUUGUGGGGUGCCCGAGUGGCGAACGGGUGAGUAACACGUGAGUAACCUGCCCUUGACUUCGGGAUAACUUCAGGAAACUGGGGCUAAUACCGGAUAGGAGCUCCUGCUGCAUGGUGGGGGUUGGAAAGUUUCGGCGGUUGGGGAUGGACUCGCGGCUUAUCAGCUUGUUGGUGGGGUAGUGGCUUACCAAGGCUUUGACGGGUAGCCGGCCUGAGAGGGUGACCGGCCACAUUGGGACUGAGAUACGGCCCAGACUCCUACGGGAGGCAGCAGUGGGGAAUAUUGCACAAUGGGCGGAAGCCUGAUGCAGCAACGCCGCGUGCGGGAUGACGGCCUUCGGGUUGUAAACCGCUUUCGCCUGUGACGAAGCGUGAGUGACGGUAAUGGGUAAAGAAGCACCGGCUAACUACGUG
rnacentral:rRNA from 1 species